rnacentral:rRNA from 1 species
AGCUCCAAUAGCGUAUAUUAAAGUUGUUGCAGUUAAAAAGCUCGUAGUUGGAUUUCUGGUGGGAGCGACCGGUCCGACGCUUAGCGUGGGUACUUGUGUCGUCUCCGGCCAUCCUUGGGGAGAGUCUGUCUGGCAUUAAGUUGUCGGGCAGAGGAUCCUCAUCGUUUACUGUGAAAAAAUUAGAGUGUUCAAAGCAGGCUUAUGCCGUUGAAUAUAUUAGCAUGGAAUAAUAAGAUAGGACUUUGGUACUAUUUUGUUGGUUUGCGCACCAAAGUAAUGAUUAAUAGGGACAGUUGGGGGUAUUCGUAUUUCGUUGUCAGAGGUGAAAUUCUUGGAUUUACGAAAGACGAACUACUGCGAAAGCAUUUACCAAGGAUGUUUUCAUUAAUCAAGAACGAAA